UGACAUGGCUCCCAAAGGGCAUGUUCCCAUAGUGUAUGAGAUGCAGUUACAUAGCAGGGAAGAGUCCUAAGAGUGGACAAGGGCACCAGCAUAAAAGAGGUGGAUGCUUCAUCUCAGCCAGCACUGGUGUCACCUUGGUGAGAAUGCUACCUCUUAAUCUGUGCCUGAGGAGAAGACUUUCGUUUCCACUUCAGUUAGUCCUGUCUCCUUUGUAAGACUGACAUUCACACAAACAUUUUUAACUGCAAAAGGACAGCCCUGUUUCUGCUUCGCACAGGAGAUGUUUUCCUGUGACCCCUUUGCGUCCUUGUGUUCUAGCAUUUAAAGACAAACAGCUGUCCCAGGCUUCAGCUGGAGGAGGAAAAGGAAGACACCAUCAAGCACAAAUGUUAGUAAGUCACUUUUCCUCUCAUUGUCUGGUAUAUCUAGGAUCAUUUCUAGCCCUGGAAACAAUUGUCUCUCUGAUGCCCUUACAUUUGAUUUUAUUCACUGGUAUUGAACAUCAGCAUUUCAAAAUGCCUUCUUGAAGUGUGAGUCUUGUUUCUCUUGAUUUAAACUGGAAACGGAUCUGCUUCUUUGAUGGAUGCUUGGGGACACAAGGACUGCCAGUUUAUUGCUUGGAAGCUACAGACCGAGUGCUUUGGUAAUCUCAUCUUCUUAAAAGUUCAUUUUCUGUCCUCCUUUUUUUUGAUUUCAUGUUGGAAAAUGCUGUGUAAAGCCAUCCUUCAAAGGAAAUCAAUGCAGUGCUGGACAAAAUAUUUUUUAGCAAGUGCUGAAUUCACCAAAACAAUAUUGUUCCAGGGAACUGGAGGAACUGACAACAGCUCUUGACCAUAUUCAGUGAACAGUUAUGAAAACACGUAUUUGUAUUUGCUGGAAUUAUGGAGAAACCAAGUACAGUUUUGACUUUUCAAUACAAUUCUGGCCUCUGUUUUCAAAGCAAAAAUGUUAUUAAAGAACGUAAAACAAAACACCAAUAUCAGAGGACACAAAUCUAAAGCAGAGAAACGUUGUGCACCUAAGGAAGUAUUUUGAAACAGUUUUUUUCUUACUGGUUUGAACAUCAAACCAAAAAAGUGCAUCAAAAGUACAUCUUUGUCACAAUGCCACAGCAUCUCCACAGUUUUGGGACCUCAGAAUCCCCAGGCUAUCUUUAAUACAGCACUGGCGCCACUCUCAAUGCAAAUUAUCAGACCAUGAGUUGUUCCAUAGUUUUUGUCUGGUUCAAGUUCCUUUGCAGAGGCUGUAGGUUGAUACAGAUGACCUGAUUAUUGUCUGUAGAAAUGGAGACGGGUCACAGACAGUUGCAGAAAAUAAAGGAAGGGAAGGUAUAAAUACUCGGGGUCCU
rnacentral:lncRNA from 1 species